rnacentral:rRNA from 1 species
GAACGAACUCUGGUAUUGAUUGGUGCUUGCAUCAUGAUUUACAUUUGAGUGAGUGGCGAACUGGUGAGUAACACGUGGGAAACCUGCCCAGAAGCGGGGGAUAACACCUGGAAACAGAUGCUAAUACCGCAUAACAACUUGGACCGCAUGGUCCGAGUUUGAAAGAUGGCUUCGGCUAUCACUUUUGGAUGGUCCCGCGGCGUAUUAGCUAGAUGGUGGGGUAACGGCUCACCAUGGCAAUGAUACGUAGCCGACCUGAGAGGGUAAUCGGCCACAUUGGGACUGAGACACGGCCCAAACUCCUACGGGAGGCAGCAGUAGGGAAUCUUCCACAAUGGACGAAAGUCUGAUGGAGCAACGCCGCGUGAGUGAAGAAGGGUUUCGGCUCGUAAAACUCUGUUGUUAAAGAAGAACAUAUCUGAGAGUAACUGUUCAGGUAUUGACGGUAUUUAACCAGAAAGCCACGGCUAACUACGUGCCAGCAGCCGCGGUAAUACGUAGGUGGCAAGCGUUGUCCGGAUUUAUUGGGCGUAAAGCGAGCGCAGGCGGUUUUUUAAGUCUGAUGUGAAAGCCUUCGGCUCAACCGAAGAAGUGCAUCGGAAACUGGGAAACUUGAGUGCAGAAGAGGACAGUGGAACUCCAUGUGUAGCGGUGAAAUGCGUAGAUAUAUGGAAGAACACCAGUGGCGAAGGCGGCUGUCUGGUCUGUAACUGACGCUGAGGCUCGAAAGUAUGGGUAGCAAACAGGAUUAGAUACCCUGGUAGUCCAUACCGUAAACGAUGAAUGCUAAGUGUUGGAGGGUUUCCGCCCUUCAGUGCUGCAGCUAACGCAUUAAGCAUUCCGCCUGGGGAGUACGGCCGCAAGGCUGAAACUCAAAGGAAUUGACGGGGGCCCGCACAAGCGGUGGAGCAUGUGGUUUAAUUCGAAGCUACGCGAAGAACCUUACCAGGUCUUGACAUACUAUGCAAAUCUAGAGAUUAGACGUUCCCUUCGGGACAUGGAUACAGGUGGUGCAUGGUUGUCGUCAGCUCGUGUCGUGAGAUGUUGGGGUAAGUCCGCACGAGCGCACCCUUAUUAUCAGU